GCAAGUCGAACGGUGAAGCCCCGCUUGCGGGGUGGAUCAGUGGCGAACGGGUGAGUAACACGUGAGCAACCUGCCCCUGACUCUGGGAUAAGCGCUGGAAACGGCGUCUAAUACUGGAUACGAACCGCAGCCGCAUGGCUCGUGGUUGGAAAGAUUUUUUGGUUGGGGAUGGGCUCGCGGCCUAUCAGCUUGUUGGUGAGGUAAUGGCUCACCAAGGCGUCGACGGGUAGCCGGCCUGAGAGGGUGACCGGCCACACUGGGACUGAGACACGGCCCAGACUCCUACGGGAGGCAGCAGUGGGGAAUAUUGCACAAUGGGCGAAAGCCUGAUGCAGCAACGCCGCGUGAGGGACGACGGCCUUCGGGUUGUAAACCUCUUUUAGCAAGGAAGAAGCGAAAGUGACGGUACUUGCAGAAAAAGCGCCGGCUAACUACGUGCCAGCAGCCGCGGUAAUACGUAGGGCGCAAGCGUUAUCCGGAAUUAUUGGGCGUAAAGAGCUCGUAGGCGGUUUGUCGCGUCUGCUGUGAAAUCCCGAGGCUCAACCUCGGGCCUGCAGUGGGUACGGGCAGACUAGAGUGCGGUAGGGGAGAUUGGAAUUCCUGGUGUAGCGGUGGAAUGCGCAGAUAUCAGGAGGAACACCGAUGGCGAAGGCAGAUCUCUGGGCCGUAACUGACGCU
rnacentral:rRNA from 1 species